GAUGAACGCUGGCGGCGUGCCUAAUACAUGCAAGUCGAGCGAACAGAUGAGGAGCUUGCUCCUCUGACGUUAGCGGCGGACGGGUGAGUAACACGUGGAUAACCUACCUAUAAGACUGGGAUAACUUCGGGAAACCGGAGCUAAUACCGGAUAAUAUAUUGAACCGCAUGGUUCAAUAGUGAAAGACGGUUUUGCUGUCACUUAUAGAUGGAUCCGCGCCGCAUUAGCUAGUUGGUAAGGUAACGGCUUACCAAGGAAACGGUGGUUAGCGGACCUGAGAGGGGGAUCGGCCCACGGGAACCUAAGCUGCGGCCCAGCCUCUACCGGAGGGAACAGUUGGGGAUUCUUCCGAAUGGGGGGAUACCUUGCCGAGGAAACUCGGCGUGAGUGAUAAAGGCCUGGGAACCGUAAACUCUGUUAUUAGGGAAGAACAAAUGUGUAAGUAACUAUGCACGUCUUGACGGUACCUAAUCAGAAAGCCACGGCUAACUACGUG
rnacentral:rRNA from 1 species